CACCUUGAUGAAAUAUCGGCACUGGGCACCGACAAUUCUUGACGGACAAGCUCUUUUUGUGGCAGGCCUAGAAAACCUCGCCCACUGAUU
rnacentral:snoRNA from 1 species